ACACGACUACAUUAGAUACCCCUGUAGUCCUAGCCGUAAACGAUACUCGCUAGGUGUCGGCCACGGUGCGACCGUUGUCGGUGCCGUAGGGAAGCCGUGAAGCGAGCCACCUGGGAAGUACGGCCGCAAGGCUGAAACUUAAAGGAAUUGGCGGGGAGCACAACAACGGGUGGAGCUUGCGGUUUAAUUGGACUCAACGCCGGAAAACUCAUCGGGAGCGACAGCAGUAUGAUUGCCAGGUUGAUGACCUUGCUUGACAAGCUG
rnacentral:rRNA from 1 species